rnacentral:rRNA from 1 species
CAGCAGUAGCCGCGGUAACACAGAGGGUGCGAGCGUUAAUCGGAUUUACUGGGCGUAAAGCGUGCGUAGGCGGCUUCUUAAGUCGGAUGUGAAAUCCCUGAGCUUAACUUAGGAAUUGCAUUCGAUACUGGGAAGCUAGAGUAUGGGAGAGGAUGGUAGAAUUCCAGGUGUAGCGGUGAAAUGCGUAGAGAUCUGGAGGAAUACCGAUGGCGAAGGCAGCCAUCUGGCCUAAUACUGACGCUGAGGUACGAAAGCAUGGGGAGCAAACAGGAUUAGAUACCCCUGUAGUCCCUGUCUCUUAUAC